GACAGAGGGUGCAAACGUUGCUCGGAAUCACUGGGCGUAAAGGGCGUGUAGGCGGGAAGGAAAGUCAGAUGUGAAAUCCCUGGGCUCAACCCAGGAACUGCAUUUGAAACUCCCUUCCUUGAGUGUCGGAGAGGAAAGUGGAAUUCCUGGUGUAGAGGUGAAAUUCGUAGAUAUCAGGAGGAACACCGGUGGCGAAGGCGGCUUUCUGGACGACAACUGACGCUGAGACGCGAAAGCGUGGGGAGCAAACAGG
rnacentral:rRNA from 1 species